CGAACGCUGGCGGCAGGCCUAACACAUGCAAGUCGAGCGAGAUCUUCGGGUCUAGCGGCGGACGGGUGAGUAACGCGUGGGAAUAUGCCUCUUGUUACGGAAUAGCCUCGGGAAACUGGGAGUAAUACCGUAUGUGCCCUUUGGGGGAAAGAUUUAUCGCCAAGAGAUUAGCCCGCGUUGGAUUAGGUAGUUGGUGGGGUAAUGGCCUACCAAGCCGACGAUCCAUAGCUGGUUUGAGAGGAUGAUCAGCCACACUGGGACUGAGACACGGCCCAGACUCCUACGGGAGGCAGCAGUGGGGAAUCUUAGACAAUGGGGGCAACCCUGAUCUAGCCAUGCCGCGUGAGUGAUGAAGGCCUUAGGGUUGUAAAGCUCUUUCAGCUGGGAAGAUAAUGACGGUACCAGCAGAAGAAGCCCCGGCUAACUCC
rnacentral:rRNA from 1 species